rnacentral:antisense_RNA from 1 species
AUGCGCGGAGCCCGCUCUACCGGCUCGCCCUAGUCUUUUGCUUUCUUUUUCUGCCCUCGGCCUCGCUCUUGUGCACUGGACCACAAUGCUCCGCGCCGCUUGUCAUUGGGAGGCGCCGAAGGUGGGGGUCGGCUCGGAAGGAAAAGAUCACUCACUCUUGGGGGCAUCCAGCAGCCAUGUUGUGAGGACACUCAAGCAGCUGUGAAGAGGUGCACCUGGAGAGGAACUGAGGCCUCCUACCAAAACCAAGCACUGACAUGCCACUCAUGGCAAUCACAGGAAUAUAUAAAACAUCAGCAGAAAGAGGCCUUUGGAGGAAUCCAGACCAGCAUUCUCAUUUUACGGAUGAGGGACUGCGGCCCAUGGAGGUUUCCAUAGAUGAUUGGAAAAACCCAAGAGUUGGUCCUCUGUUCCAGACCCCACACAGACACAAACCUACGAGCCAAGGGAGCCAGUAUUUGGCCAUUCGUCCAUCCAUCUGCAUGUCCCAGGGAUGCACGAACAGGGAACACUUCAGCCUUUCGGCUGCCUUCAAAGAAGCAAUGAGAGAGAGAGAGAGGGUUACUUUGAUGAAUGAGCAGAUACCAGGUACUGUUUUGGGGAAACUGCUUUUCUUUGAGUCUAUAUUGGUCUGCAUAAAUAAACUAAAAUGGUUUCAAGGUUGUUUUAUGAUCU